rnacentral:rRNA from 1 species
GGGGGCCCGCAAGCGGUGGAGCAUGUGGUUUAAUUCGAAGCAACGCGAAGAACCUUACCAGGUCUUGACAUCCUCUGCUAUCGGUAGAGAUACCGAGUUCCCUUCGGGGACAGAGUGACAGGUGGUGCAUGGUUGUCGUCAGCUCGUGUCGUGAGAUGUUGGGUUAAGUCCCGUAACGAGCGCAACCCUUGAUCUUAGUUGCCAGCAUUAAGUUGGGCACUCUAAGGUGACUGCCGGUGACAAACCGGAGGAAGGUGGGGAUGACGUCAAAUCAUCAUGCCCCUUAUGACCUGGGCUACACACGUGCUACAAUGGAUGGAACAGAGGGCAGCGAAGCGGCGACGCAUUAGCGAAUCCCACAAAACCAUUCUCAGUUCGGAUUGUAGGCUGCAAUUCGCCUGCAUGAAGCAGGAAUCGCUAGUAAUCGCGGAUCAGAAUGCCGCGGUGAAUACGUUCCCGGGCCUUGUACACACC